AUUGAACGCUGGCGGCAUGCUUUACACAUGCAAGUCGAACGGUAACAGGCCGCAAGGUGCUGACGAGUGGCGCACGGGUGAGUAAUGCAUCGGAACGUGCCCAGCCGUGGGGGAUAACUACUCGAAAGAGUAGCUAAUACCGCAUACGAUCUAUGGAUGAAAGCGGGGGACCGUAAGGCCUCGCGCGAUUGGAGCGGCCGAUGUCAGAUUAGGUAGUUGGUGGGGUAAAGGCUCACCAAGCCAACGAUCUGUAGCUGGUCUGAGAGGACAACCAGCCACACUGGGACUGAGACACGGCCCAGACUCCUACGGGAGGCAGCAGUGGGGAAUUUUGGACAAUGGGCGCAAGCCUGAUCCAGCAAUGCCGCGUGCAGGAAGAAGGCCUUCGGGUUGUAAACUGCUUUUGUACGGAACGAAACGGCUCUGGUUAAUACCCGGGGCUAAUGACGGUACCGGAAGAAUAAGCACCGGCUAACUACGUG
rnacentral:rRNA from 1 species